GAUGAACGCUGGCGGCGUGCCUAAUACAUGCAAGUCGAGCGAACAGAUGAGGAGCUUGCUCCUCUGACGUUAGCGGCGGACGGGUGAGUAACACGUGGAUAACCUUCCUAUAAGACUGGGAUAACUUCGGGAAACCGGAGCUAAUACCGGAUAAUAUAUUGAACCGCAUGGUUCAAUAGUGAAAGACGGUUUUGCUGUCACUUAUAGAUGGAUCCGCGCCGCAUUAGCUAGUUGGUAAGGUAACGGCUUACCAAGGCAACGAUGCGUAGCCGACCUGAGAGGGUGAUCGGCCACACUGGAACUGAGACACGGUCCAGACUCCUACGGGAGGCAGCAGUAGGGAAUCUUCCGCAAUGGGCGAAAGCCUGACGGAGCAACGCCGCGUGAGUGAUGAAGGUCUUCGGAUCGUAAAACUCUGUUAUUAGGGAAGAGCAAAUGUGUAAGUAACUAUGCACGUCUUGACGGUACCUAAUCAGAAAGCCACGGCUAACUACGUG
rnacentral:rRNA from 1 species